UAAUACAGAGACUGCAAGCGUUGUUCGGAUUCAUUGGGCGUAAAGGGUCCGCAGGCGGUCGGGUAAGUCGGAUGUGAAAGCUCGUGGCCUAACCACGAAAUGUCAUUCGAAACUGCCCGGCUCGAGGGCUGGAGAGGAGACUAGAAUUGCUGGUGUAGCGGUGAAAUGCGUAGAGAUCAGCAAGAAUACCAGUGGCGAAGGCGGGUCUCUGGACAGUUCCUGACGCUCAUGGACGAAAGCCAGGGAGCAAACGGGAUUAGAUACCCCGGUAGUCCUGGCCCUAAACGGUGCUUACUUGGUGUGCGGGGAGUCGACCCCCUGCGUGCCGCAGCUAACGCGUUAAGUAAGCCGCCUGGGAAGUACGGUCGCAAGAUUAAAACUCAAAGAAAUUGACGGGGGCCCGCACAAGCGGUGGAGCAUGUGGCUUAAUUCGAUGCAACGCGAAGAACCUUACCUGGCCUUGACAUCUAUCACGAAAGCCGGUGAAAGCCGGUGACGGCCCGAAAGGGUGCAGGGGA
rnacentral:rRNA from 1 species